UCCUUGGGCGCAGUGGUAAGUGACCGGGUCGCACGAUUCUCGUGGUCGCCGGUUCGAUCCCGGCCGGGGAA